rnacentral:rRNA from 1 species
UAGGGAAUCUUCCACAAUGGACGAAAGUCUGAUGGAGCAACGCCGCGUGAGUGAUGAAGGGUUUCGGCUCGUAAAACUCUGUUGUUGGAGAAGAACAGGUGUGAGAGUAACUGUUCACAUCUUGACGGUAUCCAACCAGAAAGCCACGGCUAACUACGUGCCAGCAGCCGCGGUAAUACGUAGGUGGCAAGCGUUGUCCGGAUUUAUUGGGCGUAAAGCGAGCGCAGGCGGUUUCUUAGGUCUGAUGUGAAAGCCUUCGGCUUAACCGGAGAAGUGCAUCGGAAACCAGGAGACUUGAGUGCAGAAGAGGACAGUGGGACUCCAUGUGUAGCGGUGAAAUGCGUAGAUAUAUGGAAGAACACCAGUGGCGAAGGCGGCUGUCUGGUCUGUAACUGACGCUGAGGCUCGAAAGCAUGGGUAGCGAACAGGAUUAGAUACCCUGGUAGUCCA